UUAUGGUCAUAUCACUUUGAAAGACCAGUUCCCAUACAAUCAUCAAAGUUAGGCAACAUCGAGCCUAGUCAGUACUAAGAAUGGUGACUGCUUGGGAAUAUCAGAUGCUGUAAG